CCCUGGGGACCUGGAGGCUGGCAUGUGCUAAUUGGAUGACGGCAUUGGUCUGACUGGCCUUGUAAGUGUGUACACAGGCAGUGAGCGGAGCACAAUUCAAACAGAAUCAUCUUGAAGAUGCUUUGAUUCCCACAGCUAAGCAGUCUGACCCUGCACUCCUGGGAUCUUGGCAGAACUCUGCUGUACUGCUAUCAGUGAGAACUGGACUUGGGAAUCAGCUCUGUGGGGAAAUGUUGCUGUCACUGCUCUGUUCUUCCCAGACUUCCCAGACUCCAUGAACCCUGCAAGGUCUUAAUUUGUCCAUCUUCACAGUGAGCAUCAUCCAGACUAGUCACAUGUUCUGCCAAGCACUUCAGAUACAAGACUUUCCAGGUGGUUUGUGAUAUCCCUGAGGUCUAAGCCAUAGGAGCCUGUGGACAGCCGAGAAGGAGUCCCCACCGCUAGUUGCUCCUGGUCUUUCCUGCACUAAGGUCCCCUCCUGGAUCAGCCUCACUCCUGAAGCCCCAGGCAGAACGGCUCCCUCCUUAGCAAUCACAGGUAUGGAGCUGACUGCAGAGCAAAGCACGGCAGGGGACUCAGCCCUGGAGUCAGGCUCCCAGCUGCUGCCGGGGUUCCUGUCCUGACUCAACUGCUUACCCGCUGUGUGGAGCUCCUGCCAGUUGAGGUUUCCAGGAAUACACACACACUCUCCUAUGCAGGAGAGAUUCAUCUCAGGCUACUUGAAGCAGAGGCCACAUGGAUCCAAUGCUCUCUGCCACUCAGCUCCUCUAGGAGAACCCGCCAGGCCCCGGGGGGCUGCCGAGCUUCGUUCUUAUUCAUCAUUGCUGGGAACUGCACCUUUCCUCCAGGCUGUGUGGGGAUGUGCAUCACCAUGGAAACGCUAGAGGUGAAAUCACUCAAGUGCCUGUGGCCAUGUCGUCUCUCUGCCGCCAAGCUGCACUGGAGGUGUCUCACGAGCUCGCUGACCUCCUGCUGUCAGCCUUCCUCCUCAAGCUCAAGGUGUGAACCUGCUUUCUGCCCCAGGAUCUUCUCUGAUGGCCACCCUGAAGCUCAACCUGGAGUGGGACAAGUUAACUCCUGCUGGGGGCAACCCUCUAACUCUGAACCUAUUGGUGAUGGGAGCUGGGAGAAAGCCACCCACCCUGGUGUUCUUCAGGGGAAUAAUUCUAGAAGGGUAUUCUACACACUUCCCAGAGGGUCAUGGCAGCACGGAGCUACCAACCUGCAGGAACUUCCAUCACAUCACCCACUUUUAUUGACUCCUCCCCCAACCGUGUCUGAGAUCUGUCCAUCCUCCAUCCUGCUGCCUGGGAUCACCUCACAAAUAAACUGCUUACACCCAGGUCCUUAUCUCAGGGUCAGCUGUUGGAGGAACCUGAACACACACCUCCACUGCUUGUGUGUGUGUUAGUCAUUCAGGCAUGUCUGACUCUUUGGGACCCCAUGGAAUGUAGCCCAUCAGGCUCCUCUGUCCAUGGAAUUCUCCAGGCAAGAAUCCUGGAGUGGGCUGCCAUUCCCUUCUCCAGGGGAUCUCCUGACCCAGGGAUCAAACCCGGUCUCCUGCAUGGCAGGCAGAUUCUUUACCACUGAGCAACCAUGGAAGCACUGCCCCCCCCCGCCCCCCUGCCACCACCCCUGCCCGCUCCCUCCGCCCCCCCCCCCCCCGCCAUUCAAGUGUAAGAUCAAUGUGAAGACACGCUCAGCCUUGAAAAGACUGUUUUUUCACACAUGGCAGGUGGGUCAUCUUCUUUCUCCAUACCCACAGGUUCACCAAGCCUUCUUUCUACAUACAGGCACCACUUUGGAGAAGAGACGCAGAAGAAAUGUUAAAGUGAAGCAUGUACUUCCCCAAAGAGACAUGUGCAAGGUAGCAUAGGUGAUAGAAAAUACAUAAGUUGGCAAAUACUGGUUUUGAUUUUUUUCCUCCCCCUCCCCAACCCCCUUUGCCCUGCAGUGAGGAGAACUGUGUGGUAGUUCAAAGAGCACCCCUAUUUUUUAAAAUAUUCACUUGGCUGCACAGGGUCUUAGCUGCGGCAUGUGGACUAGUUCUUUGUUGUUGUUUAGCCGCUCAGUUGUGUUCAACUCCAUGACCCCAUGGACUAUAGCCUGUCAGGCGCCUCUGUCCUGGGCUUUCCCAGGCAAGAAUGCUGGAGUGGAUUGCUAUUUCCUUCUCCAGGGGAUCUUCCCAACCCAGGGAUUGAACCUAUGUCUCCUGCACUGGGAGCAUGGAGUCUUAGCCACUGGAUCACCAGGGAAGUCCAGAGAGUACUUCCUUAAGGCAGACCUAUCAGCCUUUUGGACAAACUACCUCCCAGGUCCCAUCUCUCAAGAUU
ensembl:lincRNA